rnacentral:rRNA from 1 species
AGUGAACGCUGGCGGCGUGCUUAACACAUGCAAGUCGAACGAGCUUAUGCAGCACAUCGCAUGAGCUAGUGGCAGACGGGUGAGUAACACGUGAGAAACCUUCCUUCGAGUGGGGAAUACCCCCGAGAAAUCGGGGCUAAUACCCCAUAAGACCACGGCCUGGCAUCAGGCAGAGGUCAAAGGAGCAAUCCGCUUGAAGAUGGUCUCGCGUCCUAUCAGCUUGUUGGCGGGGUAACGGCCCACCAAGGCUAUGACGGGUAUCCGGCCUGAAAGGGUGAUCGGACACACUGGAACUGAGACACGGUCCAGACUCCUACGGGAGGCAGCAGUGGGGAAGUUUGGACAAUGGGCGAAAGCCUGAUCCGGCGACGCCGCGUGGAGGACGAAGGUCUUCGGAUUGUAAACUCCUUUUGGAGGGGACGAAAUAAAUGACGGUACCCUCAGAAAAAGCCACGGCUAACUACGUGCCAGCCGCCGCGGUAA